GCCAGCAGGCAUAUCACCCUGCAAAUCACAACUGGCAACCCACUGAAGCUACGCAGGUAUGGGCCUCGUCAGUACCUGGAUGGGAGACCUCUUGUGAAAAACUAAGGUUGCUGCUGGAA
rnacentral:rRNA from 1 species